GAAGGCAAGACGCUUCAAGAACAACAAGCAAUGAAUAAACA
rnacentral:sRNA from 1 species